CAGUCGCCACGGUAAUACGAGGGGGGCAAGCGUUGUUCGGAAUUAUUGGGCGUAAAGGGUGCGUAGGCGGCUUGACAAGUCUUGUGUGAAAUCUAUGGGCUCAACCCAUAGUCUGCACGGGAAACUGUCGGGCUUGAGAAUGGGAGAGGUGAGUGGAAUUUCCGGUGUAGCGGUGAAAUGCGUAGAUAUCGGAAGGAACACCUGUGGCGAAAGCGGCUCACUGGACCAUUUCUGACGCUGAUGCACGAAAGCUAGGGGAGCAAACAGGAUUAGAUACCCCAGUAGUCCCUGUCUCUUAUAC
rnacentral:rRNA from 1 species